rnacentral:hammerhead_ribozyme from 1 species
AUCCAACUGACGAGUCCCAAAGCAAGACGAAACACGCGUCCUGGAU